rnacentral:rRNA from 1 species
AUACGGAGGGUGCGAGCGUUGUUCGGAAUUACUGGGCGUAAAGAGCGCGUAGGCGGACGUGCAAGUCGGUGGUGAAAUCCCGGGGCUCAACCCCGUGACUGCUUCCGAUACUGCAUGUCUAGGGACCGGUAGAGGUCGGUGGAAUUCCCGGUGUAGCGGUGGAAUGCGUAGAUAUCGGGAGGAACACCUGUGGCGAAGGCGGCCGACUGGGCCGGAUCCGACGCUGAGGCGCGAAAGCGUGGGGAGCAAACAGGAUUAGAUACCCUGGUAGUCCACGCCGUAAACGAUGGGUGCUAGAUGCCGGGGGGAGCGACCCCUUCGGUGUCGCAGCUAACGCAUUAAGCACCCCGCCUGGGGAGUACGGCCGCAAGGCUGAA